UUCACUAAAAUCACCCAUUCCCUCCAAUUUUAAUCAACAACUAAGUUCAAUAAAUUUGGAAAAUAUUUCAAAAAUACAAACGAAGUUUGUCAUUGCAGUUUCCCUCUUCUUGUUAUUGCUGGUCACCAUCCCAAAAUAAAGGCUUUUUUCGUCGCCACUGCGCCUUCUCUGUCGCACUGUUGAUGGCCACCAUCUAUCCAUACGUGAAUACUCUCAUCAUCAAUGCUUGCCCGCUUCUGACUAACUUUUCUCUGUCUCGCCAUCACUGGCUGCUAUUUCAUGCUAGGGUAUUGAGGCUUGAGGCAGGACACACAUACUGCUUUGAGCAAGCUUUCAUCAGAGGUUGGAUGGAAUUAUUAUGACACUAUCAUGGAUCUUGAGAAUAAGAGAGCUCAAGCAACAUAUGAGAGGAGAAGUCAGUUAGCAAAACAAGCAGUACAAGCACCAUGAAUGCCAUUUCAAACUUCAAAGUCACGUGAACUUGAUAUUGAGAGGAAAAUUUGAAAGUUUUUACAAGAGAAGAUAUAGAGUGUCAGUUGAUGUCCAGCUAGAAGUCCUUGGCGCAGGACAAGAAGAUUGAGGAGCUCCAGUCCCAGUUGAAUUCGGUCAUUUCUGAUCGAGAAAGUCUGGCCACGGAGCUUGAAGCGACCAAGUCGGAGGCCAAAGUAAUUAAGGCCAAUGUCGAUGAGAUGGUGGCCGUUUAUAAGGCCGAUGCCUAGGCGGCUCAGGUUCGAGCAAAAGACAUUACUGAGCAUGCUAAAUGGCAAUCUUGAACUGAGGCCCUUGAGGAUAUUCAUGCUCGGGGUUUCGACCUAUCAGCUGAGAUCGAGAACGUCAAAGAUAUUGAACCUGAGGCUAAAAAAUGGUCUCUCCCGAAGAUGAUGAGGAGCCGAAGAUUUGGGAGAGUCCGAGGAUAGCGAAGAUCCCGAUGGUGCCAAUGGUGCCCCUAGUGAAAGCUAGGCCACUUAGGGCUUUCUAGAUAUUUCUCUUUUUUGAAGGCCAUUUUGGCCGUUGUAUAAUUCUGUAUCGGGGCCAUUUUGGCCCCUGUAAAAAGAAUUUUGGA